UUAAAUUGAAGAGUUUGAUCAUGGCUCAGAUUGAACGCUGGCGGCAGGCCUAACACAUGCAAGUCGAACGGUAACAGGAAACAGCUUGCUGUUUCGCUGACGAGUGGCGGACGGGUGAGUAAUGU
rnacentral:rRNA from 1 species